UACGUAGGGUGCGAGCGUUGUCCGGAAUUAUUGGGCGUAAAGAGCUUGUAGGCGGUUUGUCGCGUCUGCUGUGAAAUUUCGGGGCUCAACCCCGAACUUGCAGUGGGUACGGGCAGACUAGAGUGUGGUAGGGGAGACUGGAAUUCCUGGUGUAGCGGUGAAAUGCGCAGAUAUCAGGAGGAACACCGGUGGCGAAGGCGGGUCUCUGGGCCGAUACUGACGCUGAGGAGCGAAAGCGUGGGUAGCAAACAGG
rnacentral:rRNA from 1 species